GAAUCCCGUCUUUGACACGGACUACCAGGGCUUUGUGAUGCGCUCUCAAAGAGUCGAGUUGUUUGGGAAUGCAGCUCAAAAUGGGUGGUAAAUUCCAUCUAAAGCUAAAUAUUGGCGAGAGACCGAUAGCGAACAAGUACCGUGAGGGAAAGAUGAGAAGAACUUUGGAAAGAGAGUUAAACAGUACGUGAAAUUGUUGAAAGGGAAACGCUUGAAGUCAGUCACAUUAGCUGGAAAUCAACCUUGCUCUUUUGUGGGGUGUACUUUCUAGUUGAUGGGUCAGCAUCAAUUUUGACUGUUGGAAAAAGGUUGAGGGAAUGUGGCAUCUUCGGAUGUGUUAUAGCCCUUGAUUGUAUACAACAGUUGGGAUUGAGGAACUCAGCAUGCCGCAAGGCCGGGUUUAUUAACCACGUAACAUGCUUAGGAUGCUGGCAAAAUGGCUUUAAGCGACCCGUCUUGAAACACGGACCAAGGAGUCUAACAUGCCUGCGAGUGUUUGGGUGGAAAACCCAUGCGCGCAAUGAAAGUAAAAGUUGAGAUCCCUGUUAGAGGGGAGCAUUGACGCCCGGACCAGAGCUUUUGUGACGGAUCCGCGGUAGAGCAUGUAUGUUGGGACCCGAAAGAUGGUGAACUAUGCCUGAAUAGGGUGAAGCCAGAGGAAACUCUGGUGGAGGCUCGUAGCGAUUCUGACGUGCAAAUCGAUCGUCAAAUUUGGGUAUAGGGGCGAAAGACUAAUCGAACCAUCUAGUAGCUGGUUCCUGCC
rnacentral:rRNA from 1 species